rnacentral:rRNA from 1 species
AUGUGGUUUAAUUCGAUGAUACGCGAGGAACCUUACCUGGGCUCAAAUGUAUGUUGACGUAUUCUGAAAGGGAUACUUCUUCGGACAAUAUACAAGGUGCUGCAUGGUUGUCGUCAGCUCGUGCCGUGAGGUGUCGGGUUAAGUCCCAUAACGAGCGCAACCCCUACCUUUAGUUGCCAUCAGGUAAUGCUGGGGACUCUAAAGGAACUGCCUACGCAAGUAGUGAGGAAGGCGGGGAUGACGUCAAAUCAGCACGGCCCUUACGUCCAGGGCUACACACGUGCUACAAUGGCCGAUACAGAGGGCAGCUACCUGGUGACAGGAUGCAAAUCUCCAAAGUCGGUCUCAGUUCGGAUCGGAGUCUGCAACCCGACUCCGUGAAGUUGGAUUCGCUAGUAAUCGCGCAUCAGCCAUGGCGCGGUGAAUACGUUCCCGGGCCUU